UAUUGGGUUUUUAGUGGCAUGGAGUGCAUCCCAUUCCAUAUGUAUCAAUAUGACUCUCGGCAAUGGAUAUCUCGGCUCUUGCAUCGAUGAAGAGCGCAGCGAAAUGCGAUACGUGAUGCGAAUUGCAGAAUCCCGUGAAC
rnacentral:rRNA from 1 species